rnacentral:rRNA from 1 species
CUCUUUGAUUCUGGCUCAGGAUAAGCGCUGGCGGCGCACAUAAGACAUGCAAGUCGAACGGAAGUCGUUGUAAUGAUAUAGACAUGGACGGAGAACUUGUUCAAAGAAAGUGAAAGUUGACUUACAACAAUGGCUUUAGUGGCGGACUGGUGAGUAACACGUAAGCAACCUGCCUAUCAGAGGGGAACAACAGUUAGAAAUGACUGCUAAUACCGCAUAUGCCUUAGUAACACAUGUUACAAAAGGAAAAGGAGCAAUCCGCUGAUAGAUGGGCUUGCGUCUGAUUAGAUAGUUGGUGGGGUAAUGGCCUACCAAGUCGACGAUCAGUAGCCGGACUGAGAGGUUGAACGGCCACAUUGGGACUGAGAUACGGCCCAGACUCCUACGGGAGGCAGCAGUCGGGAAUAUUGCGCAAUGGAGGAAACUCUGACGCAGUGACGCCGCGUGCAGGAAGAAGGUUUUCGGAUUGUAAACUGCUUUAGACAGGGAAGAACAAAGACAGUACCUGUAGAAUAAGCUCCGGCUAACUACGUGCCAGCAGCCGCGGUAAUACGUAG